rnacentral:rRNA from 1 species
GACGAACCGUGCGAACGUUGUUCGGAAUCACUGGGCUUAAAGGGCGCGUAGGCGGGCCUUCAAGUCCGGGGUGAAAUCCUCCCGCUUAACGGGAGAAGAGCCUCGGAGACUGAGGGCCUCGAGGGAGGUAGGGGCGUGCGGAACUAUGGGUGGAGCGGUGAAAUGCAUUGAUAUCCAUAGGAACUCCGGUGGCGAAAGCGGCGCACUGGACCAUAACUGACGCUGAUGCGCGAAAGCUAGGGGAGCAAACAGG